rfam:Oryzias latipes DNA, chromosome18, strain: Hd-rR.
GGCAUGGUGGCCAAGUGGUAAGGCGUAGGUCUUGUAAACCAAAAAUCAUGGGUUCAAUCCCCAUCCGUGCCU